rnacentral:rRNA from 1 species
CAGUAGCGUAUAUUAUAGUUGUUGCAGUUAAAAUGCUCGUAGUUGAAGUUCGGAUGCAGCAGAGCUUGGAAACGCUGUUAUGGUGCUUCCGUUGCUUUUGCUUGUCCACAGUGCGUUGCAAGUACGUAUGUGCUUGUGCGUGCAUUUUACUUUGAGAAACAUAGGGUGUUCCACGCAUGUUACGGCAUGAAUAUUCCAGCAUGGGAUAAUCUGGUACGACUUCCAAUCUGCCAUUUUGGUUCGUAGGUUGGAAGUAAUGAUUAAUAGGGACUGUCGGGGGCAUUGGUAUUUGACUGUCAGAGGUGAAAUUCUGAGAUUCGUUGAGGACCAACCACUGCGAAAGCAUUUGUCAAGGAUGUCUCCAUUA